AAACCCUACGUGAAGGAACUCGGCAAAUUAACCCCGUAAGUUCGCGAUAAGGGGUGCCCCCCGUAAGGGGGGCCACAGGAAAACGACAGCUGCGACUGUUUACUAAAAACACAGGUCUCUGCGAAGUCGUCAAAGACGACGUAUAGGGACUGACGCUUGCCCGCUGUUGGAACGUUAAGGUGACUGGUUAGCCGCAAGGCGAGGCUGGGAACCGAAGCGCCAAUGAAGGGCGGCCGUAACAAUGACGGUCCUAAGGUAGCGAAAUUCCUUGUCGGGUAAGUUCCGACCCGCACGAAUAGCGUAACGACAGCUGUACUGUCUCCACGAGGGACUCGGCGAAAUUGUAGUUGUGGUGAAGAUGCCACAUACCCGCACCAAGACGGAAAGACCCCGUGAACCUUUACUGUAACCUAAUACUGGCUCUAGGUUCGCCAUGUGUAGCAUAGGUGGGAGACGUUAAUGUCGGGGGCGCCAGCCUCCGAAUAGUCUUCAGUGAAAUACCACCCUUGGCGAUCUUGGAGUCUAACCUGCGACCGUUAUCCGGCGUGGGAACAGUGUUAGGCGGGCAGUUUGACUGGGGCGGUCUCCUCCUAAAAGGUAACGGAGGAGUGCAAAGGUACCCUCAAUGCGGUUGGCAAUCGCAUGAAGAGCGUAAAGGUAUAAGGGUGCUUGACUGCGAGACACAUAGGUCGAGCAGGUACGAAAGUAGGUCUUAGUGAUCCGGUGGUCCCGUGUGGAAGGGCCAUCGCUCAUCAGAUAAAAGGUACUCCGGGGAUAACAGGCUGAUCACGCCCAAGAGUCCAUAUCGACGGCGUGGUUUGGCACCUCGAUGUCGGCUCAUCGCAUCCUGGGGCUGAAGGCGGUCCCAAGGGUUGGUCUGUUCGCCCAUUAAAGCGGUACGUGAGCUGGGUUUAGACCGUCGUGAGACAGGUCGGUCCCUAUCUGGUGUGGGCGCAGGAUGAUUGCGGAGACUCUUUCCUAGUACGAGAGGAUUGGAAAGAACGGACCUCUGGUGUGCCAGUUGUCGCGCUAGCGGCAUCGCUGGAUAGCUAUGUCCGGGCUGGAUAAGCGCUGAAAGCAUCUAAGUGCGAAGCCAACUCCAAGACUGGUCAUCCCAUGAGACACCUGGUAGACCACCAGGUUGAUAGGCCGGAAGUGUAAGGACAGCAAUGUUCUCAGCUAACCGGUACUAACCAGUCGAUCGGCUUGAUCUA
rnacentral:rRNA from 1 species